GAUGAACGCUGGCGGCGCGCCUAACACAUGCAAGUCGAACGGCACCCCUCCUCGGAGGGAAGCGAGUGGCGAACGGCUGAGUAACACGUGGAGAACCUGCCCCCUCCCCCGGGAUAGCCGCCCGAAAGGACGGGUAAUACCGGAUACCCCGGGGUGCCGCAUGGCACCCCGGCUAAAGCCCCGACGGGAGGGGAUGGCUCCGCGGCCCAUCAGGUAGACGGCGGGGUGACGGCCCACCGUGCCGACAACGGGUAGCCGGGUUGAGAGACCGACCGGCCAGAUUGGGACUGAGACACGGCCCAGACUCCUACGGGAGGCAGCAGUGGGGAAUCUUGCGCAAUGGGGGGAACCCUGACGCAGCGACGCCGCGUGCGGGACGGAGGCCUUCGGGUCGUAAACCGCUUUCAGCAGGGAAGAGUCAAGACUGUACCUGCAGAAGAAGCCCCGGCUAACUACGU
rnacentral:rRNA from 1 species